rnacentral:rRNA from 1 species
AUGGCUGCUCCGGCGAAGGCUUCGUGGAUGGUGGCCAUGAGCGUGGGCGCGGUGGAGGCGCUCAAGGACCAAGCCGGGCUCUGCCGCUGGAACUACGCACUCGGGUCCAUCCACCGAGCUGCCAAGGCCAACGUCCGCGGUGGUGUCUCGCAGGGCACCAAGCAUCUUCCGGUCUCCGCGCCGACGGUGACGGAGAAGGCCGAGGAGGGGCUGAGGACGGUGAUGUACCUCAGCUGCUGGGGCCCAAAUUAG